rnacentral:lncRNA from 1 species
AUGUUGCUUUUAACCUUUUGUUUUUGUUUUUGUAGUGAAGCUUUACCUGUAAAUCAGCCAAAGACAAAUGUUUGGGUUGCUUUAGCCAAAUCUGCAGGCUCCGAUACCAUCUGUCUAUCUGACACAAGCCCUGACAAACCUUUUUCAACCUGUUUAGUUGGAAUACCUUUACCAGAAGGUUUUGAUAAUGUUACUCUUGAUAAGUACUGGCCAUACGACGAUCAUCAAGUAUCUCCAACUACCAGCCAUAAACACCAAACUUAUAUUGAUAAUUCUAAAAUUGAUAAAUCUGACCUUCAAGAGCUAGAAAUCCUAGGCUCGUUAACUAUGGAUACCUGCUAUUUCUUUCACUUUCUAGGAGAAAACAGUCCUCAUUUAAACGUUACCCCAUAUCACCCAGCUUAUAGCAAUGUAACUUCUUGGUGCAACCAAGCUAAGCUUCUUAUAUAUGACGAACCUCAUGCAGAUCGUUUUAACAAACUUCCUAUUCGAUUCCCUAGAGGAAUUUGGCUCAUCUGUGGAGACAGAGCCUGGCAAGGUAUACCUUCAAAAAUAGAUGGUGGCCCUUGUGCUCUGGGACAACUUACAAUUAUUGCUCCCAGUGUCAAAGAAGUAAUCAAGAAGAAAAACAGAAAGAUUAGAUCUUCCUGGGGACAUCAGUAUGAGAGCGACUGUGAUAGUGACUUUCACCCUUGGAACUCUGAAAAAUCAAUUGUUGCGAGCAUUUUUCUUCCUCAGUUAAGUUCCUCAAUUGCAUUAAAACAGUUAAACAAGUUGGGAUGUUGGCUCAGCAAGGAGGUAAAUGCCACCUCUACUAUGAUCAGUGACUUGUUAACCGAUGAAGAGGCAGUCAGACAUGCGACUUUACAAAAUAGAGCUGCCAUUGAUUAUCUUUUAUUAGCACAUGGGCAUGGCUGUGAAGAUUUUGAAGGAUUAUGCUGUAUGAACUUAUCCGAUCAUUCUGUUUCCAUUCACAAACAGUUACAAAACCUAAGGGACCUAGCUAACCAAAUUACAACAGAUAACUCGUCUUGGCUAGACAGUUUGUUUGAUGGUUGGAGCUUUGCACCUUGGCUAAGGGAACUCUGUAAAAUAGGCUUGAUUAUUCUAGUAGUAAUAAUUAUAGUUUUAGUAGCAGUACCUUGUAUACUUCAGUGUGUGCAAAAAAUAACGAGUAGGACUAUGUCUAAUAUCUUAAUUGUUCAUCAGAAAGGGGGAGAUGUUGGGGAAGAUGAAACAGGAAAGCCUUAUAAAUAUGAUUGCUUGACAAAAGAUUUUGGGAAUAUGAAAACUACAGGCAACAUCAAAAUGAAAGCCACUUUUGAAAUACCAAGUCUUAGUUACUGA